UGAAUACGAGACGCUAAGGCGUCGAAGUAGUGUAUGUCAUACUUCCAAGAAAAGCUUGCACUGUCAUAGAUAAAAAACGCCUGUACCAUAACCGACACAGGUGGGUAGGUAGAGUAUACUAAGGGGCGCGAGAUAACUCUCUCUAAGGAACUCGGCAAAAUAACUCCGUAACUUCGGGAGAAGGAGUGCCUUAUUUUUAAGGCUGCAAUAACAAGAUCCAAGCAACUGUUUAUCAAAAACACAGGUCUCCGCUAAGUCGUAAGUCGAUGUAUGGGGGCUGACGCCUGCCCAGUGCCAGAAGGUUAAAGAAGUUGGUUAGCUUUUGCGAAGCUGAUAACUGAAGCCCUGGUGAACGGCGGCCGUAACGAUAACGGUCCUAAGGUAGCGAAAUUCCUUGUCGGGUAAGUUCCGACCCGCACGAAAGGCGUAAUGAUUUGGAUACUGUCUCGGAGAGGGGCUCGGUGAAAUAGACUUGUCUGUGAAGAUGCGGACUACCUGCACCAGGACAGAAAGACCCUAUGAAGCUUUACUGUAACUUGAAAUUGAAAUUGGACUUUAUUCGCGCAGCAUAGGUGGGAGGCGUUGAUUAUAAUCUCGUGGGAUUAUUGGAGCCAUCAGUGAGAUACCACUCUUGUAAUGUUAGAUUUCUAACUUUGAAUCAUUAUCUGGUCAAAGAACAGUUUCAGGCGGGCAGUUUGACUGGGGCGGUCGCCUCCUAAACGGUAACGGAGGCGUACAAAGGUUUCCUCUGAACGGUUAGAAAUCGUAUCUAGAGUGUAAAGGCAUAAGGAAGCUUGACUGUGAGACCUACAAGUCGAGCAGGGACGAAAGUCGGUCUUAGUGAUCCGACGGUACUGAGUGGAAAGGCCGUCACUCAACGGAUAAAAGUUACUCUAGGGAUAACAGGCUGAUCUCCCCCAAGAGUUCACAUCGACGGGGAGGUUUGGCACCUCGAUGUCGGCUCAUCGCAUCCUGGGGCGGUAGUACGUCCCAAGGGUUGGGCUGUUCGCCCAUGAAAGCGGUACGCGAGCUGGGUUCAGAACGUCGUGAGACAGUUCGGUCCAUAUCCGGUGUAGGCGUUAGAAUAUUGAGAGGAGCCUUCUUUAGUACGAGAGGACCGAGAAGGACAUACCUCUGGUGUACCAGUUAUCGUGCCAACGGUAAACGCUGGGUAGCUAUGUAUGGAGUGGAUAACCGCUGAAAGCAUCUAAGUGGGAAGCCCACCUCAAGAUAAG
rnacentral:rRNA from 1 species